GGAUUAGAUACCCUGGUAGUCCACACCGUAAACGAUGGAAGCUAGCUGUCAGAAUGUAUACAUUUUGGUGGCGCAGCUAACGCAUUAAGCUUCCCGCCUGGGGAGUACGGUCGCAAGAUUAAAACUCAAAGGAAUUGACGGGGGCCCGCACAAGCGGUGGAGCAUGUGGUUUAAUUCGAAGCGACGCGCAGAACCUUACCAGCCCUUGACAUACCGAUCGCGGUUUCCAGAGAUGGAUUCCUUCAGUUAGGCUGGAUCGGAUACAGGUGCUGCAUGGCUGUCGUCAGCUCGUGCCG
rnacentral:rRNA from 1 species